AGCAGUGGGGAAUUUUGGACAAUGGGCGCAAGCCUGAUCCAGCAAUGCCGCGUGAGUGAAGAAGGCCUUCGGGUUGUAAAGCUCUUUUGUCAGGGAAGAAACGGUGAGGGCUAAUAUCCUUUGCUAAUGACGGUACCUGAAGAAUAAGCACCGGCUAACUACGUGCCAGCAGCCGCGGUAAUACGUAGGGUGCAAGCGUUAAUCGGAAUUACUGGGCGUAAAGCGUGCGCAGGCGAUUUUGUAAGUUUGUCGUGAAAGCCCCGGGCUCAACCUGGGAAUUGCGAUGAAGACUGCAAGGCUUGAAUCUGGCAGAGGGGGGUAGAAUUCCACGUGUAGCAGUGAAAUGCGUAGAGAUGUGGAGGAACACCGAUGGCGAAGGCAGCCCCCUGGGUCAAGAUUGACGCUCAUG
rnacentral:rRNA from 1 species